AUACAAUUUUACCGGAUCGUGUAAGAUAUGGAAGGACAUGCAAAUCAAGCGUUUGAUGUGCAAUAUGAAGACAGUUUGCAACUAAACGUUUCCACUCAACAAGAAUUAUCCAACUUAGAAUCUGUCCCAAGUGGUCACAAUAUAAAAACAAACGAGAAUAAAGCAGAUGGAUCUGUAAAUCAAGAGCUGUAUCAAAAGAAAACCAUUUCUAAUGAGCCAAAUUUUUACCAUAAGGAGGUGUCAGAAUCUGCAUCCUCAGAGUUACUGAAUAAAGGAAAUAAUCCUGAUGAACGUCAGAUAGAAAUAAGUGAGGACCGACUUGCAAAUACUACUCAUCUUAGAAGAGCUGCUCCAUUAAGACUUGGGAUAUCCAGCGAUGAAGCAGGAUGCAGUCAACAAACGUCAUUUACGCAUAAUGAAAUUCCUUCAACAGAACCUGAUGAGCCAGUAGGAAGUAUGUCUCAUAACAAAGGCAGAGGAUUCUGGAAUCGACAUUUCUCAGCCUAUAGUACUGCUGCACAAAGAGCCUUAUAUUGGAUGCUACAUCUUUGUACACUUGUUUAUGUCAUAUCUGCAGUUGCAUUCUGGAAAUUUCAACAAGAAUGUGAUUUGGAGUGGUGUGACGGGCUGGGAAUGCUCCUUAUCAUUGUGGUUCUGGUGUAUACUGGACUUGCGUAUUAUUACAUCAUUAAGAAGCAUUGUAGCAAGACAUUAUAUAAAGUUUUGAAACCAAUAUGUAGGUGGCUGAGUACCUUAAUGGAGCAUAGGUAUAGGAAAGCUGUGAUAUGCUUGUUACCAUUUGUUGCAAUAGUUGUGUAUCUCGGUGUAGAUACCAUUGGCAGUAGUGAAAGACUUAUUUCAUGUCUUGGGACAGUUUUGAUCAUGGGUCUGGGAUUUAUAUUCUCAAAAUACCGUGCUCAGAUACAAUGGCAUCCAGUUCUGAGUGGUUUAGCUGUGCAGUUUUUACUUGGACUGAUUACCAUUCGUUGGUCUGUUGGACGUAACAUCAUUCAGUGUAUUGGUGACAGAGUAGCUAUAUUUCUUGGUUAUAGCAAUGAGGGAGCAAGAUUUGUUUAUGGCAGUGAUUUGAUUGAUAAAGGCAUAUUUGCAUUUCAGCCACUGUCAGCCAUAUUUUUCCUGAGCUUUGUGGUGCAGAUUUUGUAUUAUUAUGGUAUCAUGCAGUGGGUUGUUAUAAAGCUGGGUUGGCUUAUUCAAGUCUUGAUGGGAACCACUGUCUGUGAAUCUGUCAAUGCUGCUGCAAGUGUUUUUCUUGGCAUGUCAGAGUCACCGCUGUUAUUUAAGCCUUAUCUCAAUGAUCUCACAAAGUCUGAGAUGCAUGCCAUCAUGGCAGGAGGAUUUGCUACAGUUGCUGGCUCAGUCUUGGCAGCAUAUAUAAGCUUUGGAGUUUCACCUGCUCAUCUUAUAACAGCAUCAGUCAUGUCUGCUCCAGCUGCCCUGUGUUAUUCCAAACUCUUCUACCCAGAAACAGAAGAGAGCAAGAACAAAGCUGAGAACAUGAUAAUUGAGAAGGGUGAUGAAUGCAGUGUCCUGGAUGCAGCUACCAGAGGAGCAGUGACUGCUGCCCAACUAGUGCUGGGAAUUAUUGCCAAUGUUAUUGCAUUUGUUUCGUUUAUUUCAUUCCUCAAUGGAAUUCUGUCCUGGCUUGGUAUGCUUGUGGGUGCAGAAGGUUUAACUUUUGAGUAUGUACUGAGCAAAGUUUUUAUUCCAUUGACAUGGGUAAUGGGUGUAGAAUGGAAAGAAUGUGAAGAUGUGGCUCGACUGAUUGGAAUAAAGACUAUAGUGAAUGAGUUUGUAGCUUAUGAGCAGCUUGGGAAGCUAAAGUUGGCCAAUAAACUUUCGCAACGCUCAGAAAUGAUAGCAACAUAUGCUCUUUGUGGAUUCUCAAACCCUGGCUCAAUUGGCAUUUCAAUUGGAUCACUGAUAACAAUGGCUCCCAACAAGAGAAAAGCUAUAACUGAAGUAGCACUUCGAGCCUUCAUUACUGGCAGUGCGGCCUGCUUUCUUACUGCCUGCAUUGCUGGUGUGCUAAUGCCAGAUCAUCAUUUCUCCGAUGACAGGGUGCCAGUUUUUAAUGCAUCAACUAAAGGGCCAUAAUUUAAAAAUAAUGCAAGUUCACCAAAUACAGAUGAAGAGCAUGGAAAUAAGAAUAAAUAUAUACGUCAGUGAAGUACAUGCACUUUAAUUUGAAAACUGUACAAAAAAUACAGUAAGGAUGAUGUUACAUUCAGUGCUGUCAUGAAGUGGGAAAGUUUCUGGCCCUGACAUAUUCUCAUACAACCAUAACAAUUUUCAGCCAUUCAGUAUACUGAUCUGCAGUCCAACCGUGCCAAGUCUGGUGGAGAGGUCUGUUGUGACAAAGCAACUGGGAACAGUGGUGAGUUGAUGUGUGUUGUAUGCUAUGACAACACAAUUCAGCAGCUGUUGAGAAAACAGAUCGAGGUUUGAUGGUGGCACACCUAGCCUGGCUCACACCUUAUCAGGGAAUCCCUUGGACUAGCGGCCUUAAGAAAGGAGCAGCAAGAGAAGUUGGAACCGAGACAUGGGAAAAGUUCAUGAAAGCAUGAAUAUUUUAACAUCAUAUAACAGUUCCCUUAUGUUACGCGGUAAAUGACUGAAAAUUUAUAUACCCAUAUAAUAGGCACCCUUUUUGCAUUUGGUAAAAAUUUACCGAUGGUAUGUGUAAAUUAGUACUUUGUCAUGUAUUUAGUAUUUCAUUAUUAAUUACAAAUCGGUGUAUUUUUUUACUACCAAUAACAAUAAAGAAAACAUAUAUUGUGAAUAAAAGGACAGUAUAUUUAGGCGUCUAAAACGUCCCCGACAAGAUAUUUUAGGAUUCACAUUCAUAAUGUUUCUUAUAAUUCUUUUUUAUAUUAUAAAAACAUUUUUACUACUAGCCACGUUUCCCCAAAAGGCAACACCAUACGUGAUAAUAGAAUGAACAUAAGCAAAAUAUACAAUUUUUAAGUCUUCUAUGGUUAAAAACAAUUCAAAUGUGGAAUGGAACAUUAUCUAAGUAACAGUAUUCAGACACUUCAAGUGAUUUGCAAAGUGUAAAGUGCAAGAAAACCAGAUUAUCUACCUGAAAUUAUACACACAAAACAGGAAAGUGAUAUCUUUCCUUCCCCACAUCACAUCUCAUAGUUAACCUAAAAUAAGAUUUUGUAGUUAUUGUCUAUUUAAAAUGAUAUGGCAGUGAAUGCAUUGCAUUUAAAGCAUAAAUAGUAUUCAUGAAAGAGUUUACACAAGAAAGUUAAAUAUUUAAUAUCAGGAGCAGCAAGGACAUUUCAUUGCAUAAUUCCAUGCAUAGUGUCAUACUGAUAAGACAUUAUUUUGACAGUUAAGAGUACUUAACUUAAUGUACAUUAUCUUGAAAAUUGUUUACUGACCAUGCUAUACUCAUAUGGUAAAUGAUAAUCUGUUAAUCUAAUCAUUAUUCUAAGAUGUUAAAAAAACUGUACAAGUUUCAGAAGGGCAUGUAAACCUUUAGAAAUAUUAUAAAACAGUACCAACAACUGCACAUUUUUAUUUCUUGUUGGUUAAGCAGCAACAGUUUUUUUCCACUGGAUAGCAAGGAGGGAAUUGCACUUUUUAUAACAAAUAAAUAAGCUAAUAUUCUGACAUGACAUAAGAAAUAUUCAGUAGCAAUGAAACACAAUGCAUGAGAAAAUAAUUGAACCAGCUUUCUCCGUGGCUAUACAUUAUAAACAAAGGAUAAAUUUUUAAUAAAUACAAAUUAUCACAUUAGUAUCAAAAGAGAUGAUUAAUCUUCAAAUGUCUUCACAGUUAAUAGUGCAAUUUCUAUAUGACCUUUCAAAUCAGAUAAGCCCACAACUAUUAGCUAAAAAUCUUCAUAUAAGUGUCUACUCAUGAUCUGCUUUCUGGAGUAAUAUAUUCUUUUUCAGCUUCAUGAGACAUAAAAAUGUUCUCUUGAAACAACUGAUAUUCAACAGGGUGAAUAUUAACUAAAUCCAGAGGUUCAUUCACCAGUCAUGAGGGUGAAACCAAUAACAUCUGAGGCUGUCAAGGGGAUGAUCAUUAAAGAGUACCAUCUUCCAGAAUGUGACAUCAUGUAGUAUGGUAGAAGUUUACAAGCAGGCUGUACUUGCCAUACUGGUGCACAGGGCUAGAGCUCUAUGUGAUGAAGACAGCCUACAUGCAGAGUUGGUGUUCCUGAGGGACGUUUUCAGGCAGAACAGUUACAAUGACCAGCAGAUCCACAGAGUCCUCAACCAUCAUCUGAAUAUCAGUCAGCCUGAUGAUAAACCAGACUCGGUUGCCUUCCUGCCCUAUGUUAGGACUAUAUUCAACCGAAUAAGCAGAGUGCUGUCCCAGCAACAUCAUCACAUCAGUGGGCCUGCCUCCCAAGAAAUUAUCUAGUUUCCUCUAGCUGGUCAAAGAUAACCUGGGACUAAGGACACCGGGUGUAUACAGAAUCCCCUGUGAGUGUGGCAAGGUCUACGUUGGGCAGACAGGCUGUUCCAUGGACACAAGGUUGAAAGAGAAUCAGCGGCACAUCCGUCUUGAACAUCCAGACAAGUCAGCUGUGGCUGGACACAGCGUUGACUUGGGACACCGCAUUCAGUUUCACAAUACUUCCCUUCUCACCACUAAGACCCAAUACAUGGAUCACAUUGUUAAGGAGGCUGCUGAGAUUGAGCUCCAUCCCAACAAUAUGAACAAAGAGGUGGAGAUUUGUCUCAGCAAGUCAUGGAAGCCUCAUAAUCUGCUCCCUCAAGAAACCUCUGGAAUAUGAUACCAGAUCUACAGGGCCACACAGGUUGAUGCAUGCUCGGCAGCUUAGUCCCAAGACUAUUGGGUCAAUGCUCUCCCGGUAACCAGUAACCUUGCCUUUCUUUCGCCUCCAUGACACGAUCCCAUACUGGCUCUGGCCUGCUACCUACUGGCCCAUCUCCACAGACCUCUCCUCUAUAUUGAUUUCCCAUGUGGCCCACUAUCCCUCCCUUCCUCUUCUUAUAUAGCUGGGUGAUUUUUAAUGCUGACUCAGUCUGCAGCCACCUGCUCACGCUGGUUUCUCGCUCGUGGGU